rnacentral:rRNA from 1 species
UACGAAGGGGGCUAGCGUUGCUCGGAAUCACUGGGCGUAAAGCGCACGUAGGCGGUUUCUUAAGUCAGGGGUGAAAUCCUGGAGCUCAACUCCAGAACUGCCUUUGAUACUGGGAGACUUCGAGUCCGGGAGAGGUGAGUGGAACUGCGAGUGUAGAGGUGAAAUUCGUAGAUAUUCGCAAGAACACCAGUGGCGAAGGCGGCUCACUGGCCCGGUACUGACGCUGAGGCACGAAGGCCAGGGGAGCAAACGGG